UAGAGAGAUCUCUUGGUACCGUAGCUAACGCGUGAAGUCGACCGCCUGGGGAGUACGGCCGCAAGGUUAAAACUCAAAGGAAUUGACGGGGACCCGCACAAGCGGUGGAUGAUGUGGAUUAAUUCGAUGCAACGCGAACAACCUUACCUACCCUUGACAUGUCCGGAAGCCUGCCGAGAGGCGGGGGUGCCCGAAAGGGAACCGGAACACAGGUGCUGCAUGGCUGUCGUCAGCUCGUGUCGUGAGAUGUUGGGUUAAGUCCCGCAACGAGCGCAACCCUUGUCCCUAGUUGCUACGCAAGGGCACUCUAGGGAGACUGCCGGUGACAAACCGGAGGAAGGUGGGGAUGACGUCAAGUCCUCAUGGCCCUUAUGGGUAGGGCUUCACACGUCAUACAAUGGACGGUACAGAGGGUUGCCAACCCGCGAGGGGGAGCCAAUCCCAGGAAGCCGUUCGUAGUCCGGAUCGCAGUCUGCAACUCGACUGCGUGAAGUCGGAAUCGCUAGUAAUCGUGAAUCAGAAUGUCACGGUGAAUACGUUCCCGGGCCUUGUACACACCGCCCGUCACACCAUGGGAGUGGGUUGCUCCAGAAGUAGCUAGUCUAACCGCAAGGGGGACGGUUACCACGGAGUGAUUCAUGACUGGGGUGAAGUCGUAACAAGGUAACC
rnacentral:rRNA from 1 species